rnacentral:rRNA from 1 species
CCUACGGGUGGCAGCAGUGGGGAAUAUUGGACAAUGGGGGCAACCCUGAUCCAGCCAUGCCGCGUGUGUGAAGAAGGCCCUCGGGUUGUAAAGCACUUUCAGUGAGGAAGAACGCCUGGUGGUGUAUACCCAUCAGGAAAGACAUCACUCACAGAAGAAGCACCGACUAACUCCGUGCCAGCAGCCGCGGUAAUACGGAGGGUGCGAGCGUUAAUCGGAAUUACUGGGCGUAAAGCGCGCGUAGGUGGCUUGAUAAGCCGGUUGUGAAAGCCCCGGGCUCAACCUGGGAACGGCAUCCGGAACUGUCAAGCUAGAGUGCAGGAGAGGAAGGUAGAAUUCCCGGUGUAGCGGUGAAAUGCGUAGAGAUCGGGAGGAAUACCAGUGGCGAAGGCGGCCUUCUGGUCUGAAACUGACACUGAGGUGCGAAAGCGUGGGUAGCGAACAGGAUUAGAUACCCUAGUAGUC